rnacentral:tRNA from 1 species
GGUAGAAUGGCCGAGUGUUUAGGCGUCGGAUUGUAGCUCCGUGAACAGAGGUUUAAGUCCUUUCUCUAUCA